UACAGGAAAUUUUGCAAAUUUGUCAUUGUCUCAUCAGGCACUGGAGAGAUUAGUAGAUGUCCUUUAUCCUGGAAAUGCCUGAUAGCUAAGCGCUCAUAUUUCUUCUCAGCUAUAUACGUAGUUAUUUCCCACACAGUAUGGGAGGCAAGUAUUGUGUUAGUUUUUAAACAGCUACCCUGGUCGCAUUUUUAGCAGAAAGAGAUUCGUAAGAGUACUGAUAUUAA
rnacentral:lncRNA from 1 species